UACAAACUCCUGGAUAAGAGGAAGAACACAGCAAGAAAAGACCUUAUCUCAAAGGAUCUACACCUUUGGAAAACAGAACAGAAGUUACUUUUGACCAGAGGGACUACCUGACCAGACCUUGAUAAACUAGUGUGUAGUACGGUAAAUAACAAGAUUGAAGAGGAGACUUCCAUGGAUGGUGUUGAUGACAGUGUUUCUACAAAGAUGUGGAAAAGAGCAUUUGCAGCCUUACAGGAAUUGAUGGAAACAGCUGGAAAAGACUGAUGGACAUUGACCCUCCAGGAUGUGGAAAUGU